rnacentral:rRNA from 1 species
GACGAACGCUGGCGGCGUGCCUAACACAUGCAAGUCGCACGGGGUAGCAAUACCCAGUGGCGAACGGGUGCGUAACACGUGAGGAACAUACCUAUCGGCGGGGAGUAGCCGGCCCAACGGCCGGGUAAUACCGCGUACGCUCUCCGGGGUCAGGCUCUCCUGGGGAGGAAAGCAGCAAUGCACCGAUAGAGUGCCUCGCGGCCUAUCAGCUAGUUGGUGAGGUAAUGGCUCACCAAGGCGACGACGGGUAGCUGGUCUGAGAGGAUGAUCAGCCACAUUGGGACUGAGACACGGCCCAGACUCCUACGGGAGGCAGCAGUGGGGAAUCUUGCGCAAUGGGCGAAAGCCUGACGCAGCGACGCCGCGUGUGGGAUGAAGGCCUCGGGUCGUAAACCACUGUCGCGAGGGACGAAUAAAUUGACGGUACCUCGAAAGGAAGCACCGGCUAACUCUGUGCCAGCAGCCGCGGUAAUACAGAGGGUGCGAGCGUUGUCCGGAAUUCACUGGGCGUAAAGGGCGCGUAGGUGGCUGUGUAAGUCGGGGGUGAAAUGCUGCGGCUCAACCGCAGCGCUGCCUCCGAGACUGCACGGCUUGAGCACGGUAGAGG